GGAGGUAUGGCCAAGUAGCUAAGGCAAGUGGCUGCAAAAUAAUAUUUUUGCUGAGCCCACUGAUCGAGAGUGCAAAUCUCUCUACCUCCU
rnacentral:tRNA from 1 species